UACAGAGGUCCCGAGCGUUGUUCGGAUUCACUGGGCGUAAAGGGUGCGCAGGUGGGUUUGCAAGUUUGAUGUGAAAGCCCCGGGCUUAACCCGGGAAUGGCAUUGAAUACUGCAGAUCUGGAGGAUUGGAGGGGGGGACUGGAAUUCUUGGUGUAGCAGUGAAAUGCGUAGAUAUCAAGAGGAACACCAGUGGCGAAGGCGAGUCCCUGGACAAUACCUGACACUGAGGCACGAAAGCCAAGGGAGCAAACAGG
rnacentral:rRNA from 1 species